CAGCAGCCGCGGUAAUACAGAGGGGGCUAGCGUUAUUCGGAAUUACUGGGCGUAAAGCGCACGUAGGCGGAUUGGAAAGUUGGGGGUGAAAUCCCAGGGCUCAACCCUGGAACUGCCUUCAAAACUCCCAGUCUUGAGGUCGAGAGAGGUGAGUGGAAUUCCGAGUGUAGAGGUGAAAUUCGUAGAUAUUCGGAGGAACACCAGUGGCGAAGGCGGCUCACUGGCUCGAUACUGACGCUGAGGUGCGAAAGCGUGGGGAGCAAACGGGAUUAGAUACCCUGGUAGUCCACGCCGUAAACGAUGAAUGCCAGUCGUCGGGCAGCAUGC
rnacentral:rRNA from 1 species